rnacentral:lncRNA from 1 species
CUUAUACAUCUUUUGUUGUAUGUGAAUGAAGAUCGGGUUGUUCAAUUAUACUAUAUCCUACGCCGUGCAAAUAUAGAGGAGAUUUUGUCCGUUUGUUUUCGAAAAUUUUCUAUAUUUGUGGUGAGUCUGUUGCACCCUUGGGGUUCAAGACUUUUUUUUAAAAAAAAUGGACAGUUUUUUGCUUAUUCAGAUUUAUUAAGACAGCCCGAUUUAAUUGACUUUCAAAAAGGGACCCCGAGGCGUGACAGAUUAAUG